rnacentral:siRNA from 1 species
AGAAACACCGAUUCUGAGUUGCCA